UUUCGCAAUGCCCGAAAGGGUGACCGAGCGACGCCGCGUGUGGGAUGAAGGCUCUCGGGUUGUAAACCACUGUCAGGGGGGAAGAAGGCCCGAAUGGUGAAUUCGGGAGAGACGGUACCCCCAGAGGAAGCCCCGGCUAACUCCGUGCCAGCAGCCGCGGUAAUACGGAGGGGGCAAGCGUUGUUCGGAUUUACUGGGCGUAAAGGGCGCGUAGGCGGGAUGGUAGGUCUGUUGUGAAAGUGCUACCGCUCAACGGAGCAAAGCCAACGGAAACCGCCAUUCUUGAGACCGGGAGAGGUGAGUGGUAUUGCUGGUGGAGCGGUGGAAUGUUUAGAUAUCAGCAAGAACACCGGUGGCGAAGGCGGCUCACUGGCCCGGUUCUGACGCUCAGGGCGCGAAAGCGUGGGGAGCAAACGGGAUUAGAUACCCCGGUAGUCCACGCCCUAAACGGUGGGCACUAAGUAGAGGGGUUUUAAUCUC
rnacentral:rRNA from 1 species